rnacentral:lncRNA from 1 species
AGCAACUAGGCAGAGAAUCCAGAUUGUAUCCCAGUUCAUUGGCACGUUUGCAAUGAAUAGUUUAUUGAGAUGAUUGAGCCGGACAGGAAUGGCGGUUGGUUCGAUCCACAUCUGCAUAUAUGAAGUGAUAAUUUUGCACUGUCUUAUGUAGCGAUGCGACGUUAUGACCAAUAAAAAAAGGAUCAUUUCAGGAAAAGCUACUCACCUGACGCCCUCUUAACUGCAGAACAAGGUACUCUAGAGAUGGCGGUGCCCCUCUAAAGAAUUUGCUUAGUUGAUAUGUCCUGUUGCUACGAGAGGAAUCAUCCUU